GACGCUGGCGGCACGCCUAACACAUGCAAGUCGAACGCAGUAGCAAUACUGAGUGGCGAACGGGUGAGUAUAAUGUGGGUAUCUGCCUUUUGGUUUGGAAUAACACGAGGAAACUUGUGCUAAUACCGGAUAAGCCCUUACGGGGAAAGUUUUAACGCCGAAAGAUGAGCCCGCACUUGAUUAGCUAGUUGGUAGGGUAAUGGCUUACCAAGGCUACGAUCAAUAGCUGAUCUGAGAGGAUGAUCAGCCACAUUGGGACUGAGACACGGCCCAGACUCCUACGGGAGGCAGCAGUGGGGAAUCUUGCACAAUGGGGGAAACCCUGAUGCAGCGAUGCCGCGUGAGUGAAGAAGGCCUUUGGGUUGUAAAGCUCUUUCGUCGGGGAAGAAAAUGACUGUACCCGAAUAAGAAGGUCCGGCUAACUUCGUGCCAGCAGCCGCGGUAAUACGAAGGGACCUAGCGUAGUUCGGAAUUACUGGGCUUAAAGAGCACGUAGGUGGUUAAGAAAGUUGGUGGUGAAAUCCCAAGGCUUAACCUUGGAACUGCCACUAAAACUUUUUAACUAGAGUAGGAUAGAGGUAAGCGGAAUUUUUAGUGUAGAGGUGAAAUUCGUAGAUAUUAAAAAGAACACCGAUUGCGAAGGCAGCUUUCUGGAUCUUUACUGACACUGAGGUGCGAAAGCAUGGGUAGCGAAGAGGAUUAGAUACCCUCGUAGUCCAUGCCGUAAACGAUGUGUGCUAGAUGUUGGGAAUUUUAUUCUCAGUGUCGCAGCGAAAGCGUUAAGCACACCGCCUGGGGAGUACGACCGCAGUUAAACCUAUGAUUACG
rnacentral:rRNA from 1 species